GUGAAUCAUCAAAUCUUUGAACGCAAAUUGCACUUUCUGGUAUUCCGGAAAGUAUGCCUGUUUGAGGGUCAGUUAAAUUAAAAUCGGUGUUGGUGCUGCUUUUCGUGGUGAAGGGUCGGAAUUGGGUUGUUUUAGCUUUGGGUAAGUGAAUUAAAAUUUUGGAUGAAUUUUGAUCGUAUUUAAAUUUAUUACGUAAGGUUGAGUUAUCGAAUCCUUUAUUAGGUUUGGUCAUCCUCAUGAUUCGCGCCUAUAAUUUUUCAUUAAAUGACCUUAAAUCAGGUUAGAAUAACCGCUGAAAUUU
rnacentral:misc_RNA from 1 species